rnacentral:rRNA from 1 species
CCUACGGGUGGCAGCAGUGGGGAAUAUUGCGCAAUGGGGGAAACCCUGACGCAGCAACGCCGCGUGAGUGAAGACGUAUCUCGGUAUGUAACGCUCUAUCAGCGGGGAAGAAGGAAGACGGUACCCGACUAAGAAGCCCCAGCUAACUACGUGCACGCAGCCGCGGUAAUACGUAGGGGGCGAGCGUUAUCCGGAUUUACUGGGUGUAAAGGGAGCGUAGACGGCGUCGCAAGUCUGAAGUGAAAGCCCGUGGCUCAACCGCGGAACCGCUUUGGAAACUGCGAGGCUGGAGUGCUGGAGAGGUAAGCGGAACUCCUGGUGUAGCGGUGAAAUGCGUAGAUAUCACGAAGAACUCCGAUGGCGAAGGCAGCUUACUAAACUGCCACUGACAUUGAUGCUCGAAAGUGUGGGUAUCAAACAGGAUUAGAUACCCGGGUAGUC